CUUAAAUAGCGCCAGCAAAAGAGACGCUUCUGUUGCUCGGCUUUAAAAUUAAAUAUCGAUUCUUUGGAGACAAAGCGUGGAUCGUGGUCGAGGCUUCGAAACAAUCCGGAAUCCGCUCCUUCGUUAAAUGCCUUCGAAUUGGUCUACGAGAGUUUAAUACGAUUAUUGCGUAUAUAUAUAUAUUUUUUUUUUGUUGUUGUUGUUGCGCCGUACGCGCUGUGAGAUGGGUUCGUUCGACUAUUCCGUCGUUUGCUUCCAUUCUCUUCGCGGGAGGUGAGGGGGAUCAAAGAGGCCAGCGAGAUACAUCUCUUGCGGCGUGGCGAGAUUAUAACGACCGCUCAGGCGACUUCCGGUCAGACCGUUAUUAUGAUGCGUGUGAUUCACGUGGAGAUGGUUCACGUUCAGGACAACGUUCUUUUUUUUCUUGCGAGCUUUGUGUCGAUAGAGGCAAUAUUUGAGGCAACCGGUGGCAAGCAGUAGGAUAAGAAAUAUACCUAGGGCGCCGGCACCUACGGCCACGUAGAGCA
rnacentral:misc_RNA from 1 species